rnacentral:rRNA from 1 species
GUAGUCCCGGCUGUAAACGAUGUCGACUUGGAGGUUGUGCCCUUGAGGCGUGGCUUCCGGAGCUAACGCGUUAAGUCGACCGCCUGGGGAGUACGGCCGCAAGGUUAAAACUCAAAUGAAUUGACGGGGGCCCGCACAAGCGGUGGAGCAUGUGGUUUAAUUCGAUGCAACGCGAAGAACCUUACCUGGUCUUGACAUCCACGGAAGUUUUCAGAGAUGAGAAUGUGCCUUCGGGAACCGUGAGACAGGUGCUGCAUGGCUGUCGUCAGCUCGUGUUGUGAAAUGUUGGGUUAAGUCCCGCAACGAGCGCAACCCUUAUCCUUUGUUGCCAGCGGUCCGGCCGGGAACUCAAAGGAGACUGCCAGUGAUAAACUGGAGGAAGGUGGGGAUGACGUCAAGUCAUCAUGGCCCUUACGACCAGGGCUACACACGUGCUACAAUGGCGCAUACAAAGAGAAGCGACCUCGCGAGAGCAAGCGGACCUCAUAAAGUGCGUCGUAGUCCGGAUUGGAGUCUGCAACUCGACUCCAUGAAGUCGGAGUCGCUAGUAAUCGUGGAUCAGAAUGCCACGGUGAAUACGUUCCCGGGCCUUGUACACACCGCCCGUCACACCAUGGGAGUGGGUUGCAAAAGAAGUAGGUAGCUUAACCUUCGGGAGGGCGCUUACCACUUUGUGAUUCAUGACUGGGGUGAAGUCGUAACAAGGUAACCGUAGGGGAACCUGCGGCUGGAUCACCUCC